AUUGAACGCUGGCGGCAUGCCUUACACAUGCAAGUCGAACGGCAGCACGGGUGCUUGCACCUGGUGGCGAGUGGCGAACGGGUGAGUAUUACAUCGGAACGUACCUUAUCGUGGGGGAUAACGCAGCGAAAGCUGUGCUAAUACCGCAUACGCCCUGAGGGGGAAAGCGGGGGAUCGCAAGACCUCGCGCGAUUAGAGCGGCCGAUGCCUGAUUAGCUUGUUGGUGGGGUAAAAGCCCACCAAGGCGACGAUCAGUAGCUGGUCUGAGAGGACGAUCAGCCACAGUGGGACUGAGACACGGCCCAGACUCCUACGGGAGGCAGCAGUGGGGAAUUUUGGACAAUGGGGGCAACCCUGAUCCAGCAAUGCCGCGUGAGUGAAGAAGGCCUUCGGGUUGUAAAGCUCUUUUGUCAGGGAAGAAACACCGGCUCUAACACAGUCCGGGAAUGACGGUACCUGAAGAAUAAGCACCGGCUAACUACGUGCCAGCCGCCGCAGUAA
rnacentral:rRNA from 1 species